UAAUAGUCAAGGCAACAAUCCAAGAGAUGUCACAAAGCUGUCCAAGCUUAAGUGCCAAAUGUGUGUAGAGGAUGACUGCUGGGAGAGUCCAUAGGAAAAAGAAAUCUCUUCUAGGUGUGUGGUGCUCCGAGAAGGCUGGAGAGGGGAGCGGCUUCGACAAGGGUGGUAGGGAAUUCAUUGUUUGGUGGCAUAGUCCGUAGAGCUGACCUUGGGGCCAGGAGGCUCCCGUUGAAUCCUACACGUGUGUUUUCAUUAGCAGAAAGAACUCUCGGGUUAGGGAACUCCUUUUAUUAUACGUGUUGGCACCUUCUUUGCACUUUUUAAGUUGGCUCGAGAACUGAGAAGACUGACUUUCCCAGGGUCAACCAGUAUGUAUCAAAGGCUCCUCUUCAGGGAGGAGAUGACCAGAAGAAGGGAACAAGCAUUUAAGCACUCUGCUAAAAGGUUGAAAGAAUCUUGAAACCAUUGACAAUUCAGAGUUCCUUAUUAAAAUAUAGAUAUCUUCAUUGCAAGAAACACAUAAAGAGGUCAUCUGGGCAGAGACUCCUGAAGGAAGCAGCCAGCAGAAAGCUUGAUAACUAUUUAAAGGGACACUGAAGGGCAGGAAGGGACCAUUUGGCCAGUGGCUGCCAUGGUUCUGGGGGCUGAUUGAUUCUAUGUCAGUCCUGAUGCAAAAGUCUGACAGAUGGAGCCAGGUAUAUUUGUGUAUCCUAGGCAACUAAGCAUCAUUUAAAGGUGCCGUGUUUCCCCCCACUCACCAGGUUCCAGCUGGUGUGGUGCUGUAUUGGAGGCUUGGAGAUUUUUCUGUGACACAAACAGUUUAAACCAGAUUCAUCAUAAAAUCAAUCUUCCAUAGAAAGUGAUUUCAAGGAACUUGGAAGACUUGGAGGAAGUAGUAAAGUGAGCAGAACCAGGAGAAUAUUACGCAGUAAGAGCAAAAAAGUACAAUGAUCAACUGUGAAUGGCUUAACUAUUAUCAGCAAGGCAAGAAUCCAGGACAACUCCAAGGGACUCAUGAUGGAAAAGGAUAUCUACCAUCAUAGAAGGAACUGAUGGAGUCUGAAUGCAGAUUCAGAAAUGAAAGAAAAUGAAAGCAUACAAUUCUUAAAAAAAAAAAUUACCUGUUGUCUUAGUAUCAAGGGCAAGGGCUAAGCAAAUAGGGUUAAGUGAAUUACCCAGGGUCACACAGCUAAGAAGGGUUGGAGUUAGGAUUUGAACCCAGGUCGUCCCAACUCCAGAAACUGGUGCUCUAACUGUCCCAAAGCAUACCAUUCUUCACUUUAUUUCCUCCAUGGAUUUUGCUCUAGUAUAAUUGAUUUUGUGUCUUUUUCACAUGAUAAACGUGGAAUUAUAUGACAACACAGGGUACAAUCUACAUCGUAUUACCUGCCAUCUCAAGAUGGAGCAAAGGGGUGGGAGGAAGGGAGAGGACAUGGAUUGCAAAAUGUCAGAAAAGGAUUAUUAAGAUUGUGUCGACAUGUAAUCUGAAAAAAUAAAAACAAAAUCAAACAAAACAGAAAGUGGUUUCAUUUUUCUCCAUUGCAGGCCAAGCGUCUCAUGCACCCAUGAAGGUAAGGCACUUCUGGGGGGGAGGGAUGGCUUCUGGUCCUCAAACUAUUCAUUUCCCAGGUUCAUGAUAUAGCCAGGAAAUAUUCCAGCCUGGACCCCUAGGCUUCCCUGUAAACUCAUAGAAUUCAUUGUGGAGUUGGUUUCCCAACUAGAACCCAUCUGAACUGGUCUUGGCUCCACGGUGGAGAGAUCACUUUUCUGGGAGUCAAGAGAACUGGGUUAUGUGACAACGGGUAAAUGACUUCACUUUUCUGGAUUUCUUUUUUCUCACCUAAAAAAAACAAGACAAUGAUACCUGCCUGCCUGACCUCAUAGAGUUGUUGCCAAGAUUAUAUGAGAUAAUGUGUGGGAGCAUGCUUUUCAAAACAAAGUCUUGUGGGUUGUUCAAAAGGCUCUAUGUACUUCAGAGUGGUCUUCUCCAAGAGGAGAUGGGCAUCAGCCACUUGGCUCUAAUCAAAUGAAAGUAGAGGUAAUAAUAGCAAACGAAGCCCAUUGCCUCGUUGUUUGGUAUCCCCUUCUCUUAUCCAAGUUUGAGGCAAGUAGAACACAAGGAAGGGAGGAAGUGGAAGAAGCCAUCUCCCAGGUCAAGAUAGAUCUCAGAGUGUUCGCCUUGCAAGGCAGAGUUUUGGUCUGCUCCCAGAUUUGCCCAUUCAUUCCCUCUGCUUUCUUAGAUGUGCAGUUAGCUAAUCUUCUUGUUUUCCCUAGGUUGGGGAUAAUAACAGAGGGGGCAGAUUAAUUACCGGCUGGCUAUUCCUGUUCCAAAUAAAUGGAGUGCUAAAAACAUACGACUAGCCUUCAUCCUUAGCAGGUUUGUCUC